UCUUCCUAUCUCAAUCACCAUUUUUAUAUUAGGGCAGAGAGAGAGAGAGAGAGAGAGAAAAGAGAUCUUAAGAAUUAAUUCAUAAGUAAGAGGGUGAAAAAUUGGAAAAGACCACAGUAUGGAACUAUUAUUAAAAGUCUGUGAUCUAGUAGGGUGUCCAGGGCCAUGCCAUUUGGAGUACAUAUUGGAAACUGUUUGAGGGCAGAGGCUAUGCCUUGUAGUUUUUUUUACAAAUGUAUGUCCAUUUGUAAAUGUUCAGAUGACAGAUGAAAAUAAGUUGGGCUCUGAAGAGUGUAUCUCCCAUAGAGGAGGUUGGUAAACACGAACCUGACCUGUUUUCCCUAGAGCUGACCUUAUUGUAAGAUUGAAGAGCUCAGAGACAAAUUAUAUCAGCCCUCUUUUGACUGCAGGUAACAGAAAAACCAACUAAAAGUGGUUUAAACAAUGAGAAUAUUUAUUUUAAUACAUAAUAAAAAGUCAAGAAGUAGGUAGUUCCAUUAAAAACUCAAUUCCUUUACCACUCUCUUUAAGAGCAAAGAAACUUUCCCAGAGCCUCCCAGCUGACUCCCUUUUAUGUCGUAUUGGCCAUUAUUCUAUCAUUUGCUCUACCUGAGCAGUCACUCGUAAAAGUAAUUUGACCACCUUGACUGCAUUUAGCUAGUUAUGGUUGGUGCUGAGGCCUACCUUCAAAGGAAAAGGCCCCUCCCAGGAAGAUAAACAAAAUCUAGAUCUUAUUAAAAUAAAGAGGAAGAAGUGGAAUUAGAGAAAGGCUGUUAGGUAGCUAAACAGCAAUAACUAUUAUACAAACAAAUAAAUCAUAGUCAUGUCUUGGUUACUCCAAGGAUGCUUUCUGUUUAUUGAUGUUUGACAAAGUUAAAAUGUAAGGAUUUAUGAUUAAAACAAUAACUACAAUGUUUAAUGCAUUUAUGUUUAUCUCAUUGACAUUUACACUGCCAAAUGACUUUUAAAAUCUGUGGAUUAUAAGGAAUUUAAAGUAAAACCCUAUCCUAUUUGAUUAUUAAAAUGUCUGCACCCUGAGGGAUAUAUAAUCCUACAGAUUUCUUGGCUUCAGGAUUCAGAAGCAAAAGCACAAGU